rnacentral:rRNA from 1 species
GAUGAACGCUGGCGGCGUGCCUAACACAUGCAAGUCGAACGGAGUCCAGCCUUUAAGACCUUCGGGUCAAAGAGGGGAAGACUGAGUGGCGGACGGGUGAGUAACACGUGGGCAACCUGGCUCAUAGAGGGGGAUAACAGAGAGAAAUUUCUGCUAAUACCGCAUAAGCACACACUGCCGCAUGGCAGAGGGUGAAAAGAGAAUCGCUAUGAGAUGGACCCGCGUCUGAUUAGCCAGUUGGCAGGGCAAGAGCCUACCAAAGCGACGAUCAGUAGCCGAUCUGAGAGGAUGAACGGCCACAUUGGGACUGAGACACGGCCCAAACUCCUACGGGAGGCAGCAGUGGGGGAUAUUGCACAAUGGGGGGAACCCUGAUGCAGCGACGCCGCGUGAGUGAAGAAGUAUUUCGGUAUGUAAAGCUCUAUCAGCAGGGAAGAUAAUGACAGUACCUGAAUAAGAAGCCCCGGCUAACUACGUG